rnacentral:rRNA from 1 species
AGGAGAGUUUGAUCCUGGCUCAGGAUUAGAUACCCUGGUAGUCCUGAAUUCGGCUUAGAGUUUGAUCCUGGCUCAGGAUGAACGCUAGCUACAGGCUUAACACAUGCAAGUCGAGGGGCAGCGCGCGGAGGCUUCGGCCACUGUGGCGGCGACCGGCGAAUGGGUGAGUAACACGUAUCCAACCUGCCCGUCACUGGGGGAUAGCCCUCCGAAAGGAGAAUUAACACCCCAUGAUUGCAUUUGAGGCAUCUUUUAUGCAUUAAAGGUUACGGUGACGGAUGGGGAUGCGUCCGAUUAGCUAGUCGGCGGGGUAACGGCCCACCGAGGCGACGAUCGGUAGGGGGUCUGAGAGGAUGGUCCCCCACACUGGAACUGAGACACGGUCCAGACUCCUACGGGAGGCAGCAGUGAGGAAUAUUGGUCAAUGGGCGAGAGCCUGAACCAGCCAAGUAGCGUGAAGGAUGACGGCCCUACGGGUUGUAAACUUCUUUUAUGCGGGAAUAAAGUUCGCCACGUGUGGCGUUUUGCAUGUACCGCAAGAAAAAGCACCGGCUAAUUCCGUGCCAGCAGCCGCGGUAAUACGGAAGGUGCGAGCGUUAUCCGGAUUUAUUGGGUUUAAAGGGAGCGUAGGCGGAGCGCCAAGUCAGCUGUGAAAUCCUGCGGCUCAACCGUGGGCCUGCAGUUGAAACUGGCGUUCUUGAGUGCACAUGAGGAUGGUGGAAUUCGUGGUGUAGCGGUGAAAUGCUUAGAUAUCACGAAGAACUCCGAUUGCGAAGGCAGCUGUCUGGGGUGCUACUGACGCUGAGGCUCGAAAGUGCGGGUAUCAAACAGGAUUAGAUACCCUGGUAGUCCCCU